AUUGAACGCUGGCGGCAGGCCUAACACAUGCAAGUCGAGCGGAUGAAGGGAGCCUGCUCCUGGAUUCAGCGGCGGACGGGUGAGUAAUGCCUAGGAAUCUGCCUGGUAGUGGGGGAUAACGUCCGGAAACGGGCGCUAAUACCGCAUACGUCCUGAGGGAGAAAGUGGGGGAUCUUCGGACCUCACGCUAUCAGAUGAGCCUAGGUCGGAUUAGCUAGUUGGUGGGGUAAAGGCCUACCAAGGCGACGAUCCGUAACUGGUCUGAGAGGAUGAUCAGUCACACUGGAACUGAGACACGGUCCAGACUCCUACGGGAGGCAGCAGUGGGGAAUAUUGGACAAUGGGCGAAAGCCUGAUCCAGCCAUGCCGCGUGUGUGAAGAAGGUCUUCGGAUUGUAAGGCACUUUAAGUUGGGAGGAAGGGCAGUAAGUUAAUACCUUGCUGUUUUGACGUUACCAACAGAAUAAGCACCGGCUAACUUCGUG
rnacentral:rRNA from 1 species